rnacentral:rRNA from 1 species
UACGUAGGGAGCAAGCGUUAUCCGGAUUUAUUGGGCGUAAAGCGCGCGUAGGCGGCUUGUUAAGCAAGAUUUUUAACCUGGGGGCUCAACCCUCAGCAGGAUUUUGAACUGGCAGGCUCGAGUAUGGUAGAGGAAAGUGGAAUUCCCGGUGUAGUGGAGGAAUACGCAGAUAUCGGGAAGAACACCGAUGGCGAAGGCAGCUUUCUGGGCCAAUACUGACGCUGAGGUGCGAAAGCUAGGGGAGCGAACAGG